rnacentral:misc_RNA from 1 species
GGAAGUAAAAAGUCGUAACAAGGUCUCCGUAGGCGAACCUGCGGAGGGAUCAUUACUGAGUGAGGGCCCUUGGGCUCGACCUCCAACCCUAUGUUUCUGCCUCGUUGCCUCGGGGGCGACCCGGCCCCGCGUCGGGGCCCCCGGAGGACCCAUCAAAUUCGCGUUGUGAUGCGUCUGAGUGAACGUCUUAAAUGAAGCAAAACUUUCAACAACGGAUCUCUUGGUUCUG